rnacentral:misc_RNA from 1 species
UUUCCGUAGGUGAACCUGCGGAAGGAUCAUUAUUGUAUAACCGAGGUGCGAGGGCUGUCGCUGACCCGAAAGGUCGUGCACGCCCCAGUGCCCUCACACACAUCCAUCUCACCCCUAUGUGCACCACCGCGUGGGUCCCCCUUUGGCUUGUUCGGAGGGAAGCUUACGUUUUCACACAAACUUUGUAUGCAGUGUAGAAUGUAUUUUUUGUUUUUGCGAUCACGCAAUCAAUACAACUUUCAACAACGGAUCUCUUGGCUCUC